GAAAAGAAGGAGAAAAAUCCAAUUUCGGGAAGAGAACAUAAGGAAACAAAAAGAAAAAAGGAGUGGGACAAAGAGGCACGUGCACAAAUGAAUGAACAACUUUCUGUGGAAGCUUUUUGUGGUGCAGUGGAGGACCUUUAAGGCAGCUUCAGAAGGGUGGAGAUCAAUUUCCUGGUUACAUUUCCUUUCCCAUUCUUAUUGGACUUUUUUGUUUUCAUUUUAUUUUCUUUGCUUUUAUUUCUUUAGUUUUGGUAUAUUGUUUUAUUAUUGAUGGUUUGCUGUACUCGGUUUUUAAUAAAAAUACAAAAUAUAAGAAUCAUAGAAAGUAAAUAAGCAAAAAUCAAAAAUCAAAAAUAAAAAACAUAAAAAAUAUUAAAACCACGAAAAUUGUUAUAGCGUUUAGCAUCUUUCUUUUUAAAUAUUGUUU
rnacentral:lncRNA from 1 species